UACAGAGGUCCCAAGCGUUGUUCGGAUUCACUGGGCGUAAAGGGUGCGUAGGUGGUGAGGUAAGUCGGAUGUGAAAGCUCGGAGCUCAACUCCAAAAUGGCAUUGGAAACUACCUUGCUCGAGGGUUGGAGGGGGGACUGGAAUGCUUGGUGUAGCAGUGAAAUGCGUAGAUAUCAAGCGGAACACCAGUGGCGAAGGCGAGUCCCUGGACAACUCCUGACACUGAGGCACGAAAAGCUAGGGGGAGCAAACAGG
rnacentral:rRNA from 1 species